rnacentral:rRNA from 1 species
UACGUAGGGGGCAAGCGUUGUCCGGAUUUAUUGGGCGUAAAGAGCGUGUAGGCGGCCUGGAAGGUCAGCUGUGAAAACUCGAGGCUCAACCUCGAGACGUCGGUUGAAACCACCUGGCUAGAGUCCGGAAGAGGAGAGUGGAAUUCCCGGUGUAGCGGUGAAAUGCGCAGAUAUCGGGAAGAACACCCGUGGCGAAGGCGGCUCUCUGGGCAUUACCUGACGCUGAGGAGCGAAAGUGUGGGGAGCGAACAGG